rnacentral:rRNA from 1 species
GAUGAACGCUAGCUACAGGCUUAACACAUGCAAGUCGAGGGACCGGCGCACGGGUGAGUAACACGUAUCCAACCUGCCCUUUACUAGGGGAUAGCCUUUCGAAAGAAAGAUUAAUACCCGAUAGAAAGGAUGGGUGUGCGUUCCAUUAGGUUGUUGGGGAGGUAACGGCUAGCGAAGCGUUCGAUGGGUAGGGGGUCUGAGAGGAAGGUCCACCACAAUGGAACGUGGACCCUGUCCAAACUCCGACGUGAGGCAGGGGUGAGGAAUAUUGGUCAAUGGGCGCUAGCCUGAACCUGCCAAGUAUCGGGAAGGAGGCAGGUGUUUGGGUCGUAAACUGCUUUUAUAUAAGAAUAUGUAUUAUAUGAAUAAGGAACGGCUAACUCCGUGCCAGCAGCCGCGGUAAUAC